AGCAGCCGCGGUAAUUCCAGCUCCAAUAGCGUAUAUUAAAGUUGUUGCAGUUAAAAAGCUCGUAGUUGAAUUUCGGGAUCAAUAUUUCGGUCAUGCCGUUGGUAUGCACUGUUAUCAUUGAUUUCUCACCUUCUAAAGAACCGUAAUGCCAUUAAUUUGGUGUUACGGGGAAUUAGGACUGUUACCUUGAAAAAUUAGAGUGUUUAAAGCAGGCUCACGCUUGAAUACAUUAGCAUGGAAUAAUGAAAUAGGACAUCCGAUUCUAUUUUGUUGGUUUCUAGGAUCGAUGUAAUGAUUAAUAGGGAUAGUUGGGGGCAUUAGUAUUCAAUUGUCAGAGGUGAAAUUCUUGGAUUUAUUGAAGACUAACUACUGCGAAAGCAUUUGCCAAGGAUGUUUUCAUUAAUCAAGAACGAAAGUUAGGGGAUCGAAGACGAUCAGAUACCGUCGUAGUCUUAACCAUAAACUAUGCCGACUAGGGAUCGGAUGAUGUUAAUUUUUAAUGACUCAUUCGGACCG
rnacentral:misc_RNA from 1 species